rnacentral:rRNA from 1 species
AUUUGGCGGACGGGUGAGUAAUGCCUAGGAAUCUGCCUGAUAGUGGGGGACAACGUUUCGAAAGGAACGCUAAUACCGCAUACGUCCUACGGGAGAAAGCAGGGGACCUUCGGGCCUUGCGCUAUCAGAUGAGCCUAGGUCGGAUUAGCUAGUUGGUGAGGUAACGGCUCACCAAGGCGACGAUCCGUAACUGGUCUGAGAGGAUGAUCAGUCACACUGGAACUGAGACACGGUCCAGACUCCUACGGGGGCAGCAGUGGGGAAUAUUGGACAAUGGGCGAAAGCCUGAUCCAGCCAUGCCGCGUGUGUGAAGAAGGUCUUCGGAUUGUAAAGCACUUUAAGUUGGGAGGAAGGGCAUUAACCUAAUACGUUAGUGUUUUGACGUUACCGACAGAAUAAGCACCGGCUAACUUCGUGCCAGCAGCCGCGGUAAUAAU